rfam:Penicillium griseofulvum strain PG3 contig_12, whole genome shotgun sequence.
GGCACUUUGGCGGAGUGGCCUAACGCGGUGCCCUGCUAUGCAUGAAAAUGUAAGCCCAGGCAUUUCCUUCGGGAGCGUGAGUUCGAAUCUCACAGGUGUCG